AUGUACCACUCGUACACUCCGGUUCCUGUGCGCCGCCCGCACCCACCUGACGACUGCUCCGGAAACGCGAACACUGCUUGGGUGACC
rnacentral:sRNA from 1 species